rnacentral:rRNA from 1 species
AGAGUUUGAUCAUGGCUCAGCCUGAACGCUGGCGGCGUGGCUAAGACAUGCAAGUCGUACGGGGCCGCAGCAAUGCGGUCCAGUGGCGGACGGGUGAGUAAUGAAUCGCUAACGUACCCCGGGCUCCGGGACAGCCGGCCGAAAGGCCGGGUAAUACCGGAUGACGUCCCCCGCAGGCAUCUGCGGGGGCCCAAAGGGCAACCGGCCUGGGAGCGGGCGAUUUCGUAUCAGCUAGUUGGUGCGGGUAACGGCCCACCAAGGCGACGACGCGUAGCUGGUCUGAGAGGACGGCCAGCCACAUUGGGACUGAGACACUGCCCAGACUCCUACGGGAGGCAGCAGUGGGGAAUAUUGGACAAUGGGCGGAAGCCUGAUCCAGCAACGCCGCGUGAGGGAUGACGGCCUUCGGGUUGUAAACCUCUUUCAGCAUCGACGAAGCUAUCCUUUUGGGGUGGUGACGGUAGGUGCAGAAGAAGGACCGGCCAACUACGUGCCAGCAGCCGCGGUAAUACGUAGGGUCCGAGCGUUGUCCGGAAUUAUUGGGCGUAAAGGGCUCGUAGGCGGUCUGUCGCGUCGGGAGUGAAAACACCGGGCUUAACUCGGUGCUUGCUUUCGAUACGGGCAGACUGGAGGUAUGCAGGGGAGAACGGAAUUCCUGGUGUAGCGGUGAAAUGCGCAGAUAUCAGGAGGAACACCGGUGGCGAAGGCGGUUCUCUGGGCAUUACCUGACGCUGAGGAGCGAAAGUGUGGGGAGCGAACAGGAUUAGAUACCCCAGUAGUCC